UUUUGAAGGAGCUAUGUCGGGUAUCUAUUUAUUAAUCAGUGGAUAUUCCAUGAGACGUUGGUACCAAAUGGAUGAAUCUUCACUAAGACUUUAACGGUUAUGGAAAGCUAACUUGUUAAUCACAGAUCUGUAAUGUUAGCCUAGCUCGUCAGCUAACGUUAGCCAGCUCAUUUGCCUAGUUUAAACACAGACUAUAACUAUAUGUAUUUGCUGACAUAUAUGUUAAUGUAAGAAAUUGUAUGAAGAUAAAACGCUAAUUCCUCUGGACAGUACAAUCGAUACUGUGUUUCCUGCCGUGACCGCUACAUUCUGAGUGGGUUUGUCAUUGUUCCACCAGAAACUGUUCAGAAUCUUUUGUUACACUCUCUUAAUGUUAGAUGCACAUGUUAGCACAGUAACUUGUUAAAUUAAGACCACGUUGAUCUUGUUUUUACGCAACUAUUUCUGUUGAUCAUAGGUGCACAUACUUGUCAAGUCUAAUUCCCAUUUGUCUUUUCCGCAGAUCUUAUUGGCGAGUGUUCAUCAGUCUCGGGUACCUGGACACUGGGGAAAACAUCGAUCUCAGCCACACGUGUAUAAAGCAGGGUUGUGGGAUAAUGACCACACUUUUUUCUCCGUCAUCAAGUCAGCUUCAGAAUGGGUGUAUGUCCAACAACAACAACACAUAGGUAGUAUAGAACACGGAGAUAUAGUAUUCAUUUGUAUUUCUAACAGUAGUUAGGAUGGUAGCAUUCUUUUUUUUUCUUUUUGUCUCUUAUAGUUGUGCUAAUUGGGAAGAAAACUCAAUGCAUCAAGUUCAAGGGACCAAUAUUGGGGGGAGCACAGAGAACCAGUGUGGGAAAGUACCUUUGUAACCGUAGUUAUUACCCAAUAAUACCCAACCCUAUUUGGACAUUUCUAGAGGCAAAAUAGCCACUAGCUUUGAUGGAGCUAUCUGUAACAUUUAUGUUUGCAGUGUUUCUAUUGUUUGCACAUUUAUAAAACAGCUCAUAUGAAUAGUUUUAUACACUGUCAGUGUUGGAUAGAUGCAUGGCUGGCUAUGUACAUUAGCCAAAGCUGAUCUUGUAACCCUGAAAAGAAGCCCACUGCUCCAGAAAUAGGCUACAUACUGGAGUUGGAGUUGCCUCUUUCUAUUGCUCAAUUUAACAGAUAUAAUUUCACGUCUGUUUCACCUACUGCUUUGUUGCAGCCUGAUGCGGAUCUCAGUAUGAAGUGCCCUUACCAGUGUCAAGUGAAGCCAGUGGGGGCUAGUCAGGUGCUGCUGAUAAGAGAGGCAGAGGGGAUGUGCUAGAGAGAGGAGAAGAGAGUACAGGUCCUAGUGGUACAACAGGCAGAGAGGAUGUGCUAGAGAGAGGAGAGGAGAAGAGAGUACAGGUCCUAGUGGUACAACAGGCAGAGAGGAUGUGCUAGAGAGAGGAGAGGAGAAGAGAAGAGAGUACAGGUCCUAGUGGUACAACAGGCAGAGAGGAUGUGCUAGAGAGAGGAGAGGAGAAGAGAGUACAGGUCCUAGUGGUACAACAGGCAGAGGAGCUAGAGGAAGAGCAACAGAGAGAAGAGAGAGUGCAGGUCCUGCAUACCUUUCAAGUUAACAAUGUCGCUCCUCCGUGUGACUGAUAGCAGUACAUUAGCAUUUGUUAGCAUGACGCAUUAGCCAGCUCUACUUGGGAUCACUUCACCAGCUGUGUAUCUCAAAUACUCGCUGCCCUGUUAACCCAGCAGCACAUAGACCACAGAGUGUGAGUGCAAGGACUGGAAUUAUUGUUACUUAAAAUGCCCAUCCCUACAAGUAGCUGUGAUUAAAUUUAUUAAGGUUAGCUAACCUUAGCUGAAGCUCAAUGCUUACCUAUUCAGGAGAAAAUUGGCCAACUUGGCAUCCAUUUUAAAAUCCUUCUGGGCUCUUAGGUGUUUCCAUCUUUCAAAUAUAUCUCAGAUAUUUACCCGCAUUUUACUACGUCUCUGGUCAUACAGCUUUUUGGCAGGAUGCCGAGGCUUUUCUGAUCGGGUAGAAUCAAACAUCAUCUGUUGGUCCAGUUUGUUUGCUUACUUCCAUGGCAGUCGCAUGCUGUAUCUGUAUCUAUUUUAAAAGGAGAAUAUAUUGUCUGAAGUAUUGUUGUCUGAGAAGACAGUCCUUCAGUUUGGCAUGUUUCCUUAAUCUCUGUUGACGUAUCAUGUUCAUUUUAUGAUUCAGUACAGUACAUUCAUUACAUACUGGUCCUUUUAAAGUAACACUAUGCAACAAUUUGACACUUUUUGAGGUAUGGUUUUAUAGGCAACUAGUUUUGGUACCAUCCUCAAAUUCAUUUUGAAAGCAUAUGGUCAUGUGAAGGAUAGAUAAACACCUGUGUCUUUCCCACUAGCCAUCCAGGAUAUUCACUAUGUAGUUAUGUGUUUCCUGGCUGGAACACCUUGCAAAAAUGGAAGAAAAGCUUUCAUAGCAUGACAUUGCCAGCUAUACUGCCUAAAGACACCAGUUAGUGUUUUGGCAAGCAGUGUCUAAACUGGUGUUUAGAAGGUAUUUGCAUGCCUUUUAGGUAGUUAGCGUGCUAGUUUUGGAACAGAACUCCUUAUUGCUGCUUUAAGGGUUAUGUAAGCUCAGAAAGUACCAAAAGGGCCAGCCAGGGAUUGCUGUAAAAUCACUGGCAAAAAGUUAAGUGAUCUAUGUAUAUGUAAGGAAGUGGUACAUUAAACAUUUUGAAAAAUAUUCAAACAUCUGUUUAGUGAUUUCAAAGCAAAUGUAGCCUGGGAUGCAGACAAAGGUGAAUUGAUUCAGAAAAUUCUAGAUGUUGCAUUCAUGUUUUUUUUAUUUGAAAAUAAAAGAAAAUGAGUCUUUCAUGUUGUCAUUUGAUUAUUUUCACAGACUUAUUAUGAACUGUUCUUGAAAACUUUAUCCAUAGU
ensembl:lncRNA